CAAUAAACUUUACAUUUGGAUUAGAGGGAGAGGGAAGAAGAAAUUAAGAAAAUGAGUGCAGGGGGUAACAAAAUGAGGUUAAGGAACAGAAAAGGAAAGAAACGUGGAGGGAAAGGUUACUGCGGGCACAGAGCAGCUUUCCUGAUGGGAAGGGAGAGGGAAUUAGAGGCUGCGGAAGAACUGGGACGCCUCUUCUCCCACUUCCUGGGGCAUGUGAGGGACAUUCCACUUGAAGGAGUCUGCCCACAGUUACAAACAUGUCCUCUGCCCUUGUACAGUUGCUUUGGUCCUCACCCACCACCCUCUCAGUGUCUUUCCUCUCUCUGACUCCCUUCUUGGGGUCUUAUCAGUGUCCCUUCCCCGGGCUUGUUCCUCAUCCGCUGGACCAUUGGUACAGGGUCGCCGGCAGCCGCAGGCUAUAACGCAGAGCGUCUUCUUACAAUAUCCCUUCUAUUUGCUGCCAAGCAGUUUAAAACAGUUUUAUAUUAAAGCAGACUUGCGCAUAUUAUGGUGUAGAAUGUAAAAUUUGUACGAAUGUCAAAUCCAACAGGAGACUUGAUAUAAAUGUUGCGCUUCUAGCAGCUUCAGGCUUAGUCCUCACAGAUCCUCAGGAUUCUUGGUUCACCCUGCUUUGCUGUUAGAGGUGUUUUCCUGAAGCGCUUGAGAACAUUUGGCCAAAUUUGUUUCUCUUCUCAGGAGCAUCUGUACCGAGAAUAGUAAAAAGCAUUCAAGAAGCAAAGAAACGGCACUUUAAUGAUAGACACGAAGGCGGUUUGACGGGAGGUGGAAGAGAGCUUUUGGUGGCUGUGUGAAUCAUCUCCAACUCUAAUUUCAUAUGUUCUGCCAACUGACAGGGCCAGCUCUGCUAUAAAUCUCUACGUGGGCCAGACUUCUAGGAAGCAUUGAAUAAUCAAGACACAGGAAGAGCAGAGGUGCAGCUGGGUUAUGAGUACUUCGAGCCAGGGACCAGAAGGUUGGCAGGAUGCUUCUCAAUCUCCCGGGCCUCUCUGGAUGUUGGCUUCCUUCUCUCUCAUUUCAGUCUAGCUAUUUCUACUUGGGGGAAGACUUGCUUGCCAGAAGCACCUGAGUUUUACAGUUAAAUGUGGAGCCACUGGAGAGAGAUUAGUUCAACUCGUACCUCAUUCCAAGGCCACAAGCCACAAAGAAGGACUGUGGCUCAGCUUGUCUGGUGCUCACCAGCAGAUGAAUUAACAACCCCCAGGGAGCUGGGCCCUAAUGUAUGCAUAUGGUGGCUCCUGCGGCAAAAAUGCUGGUGAGCAGGAGUUAGGAGAGUAGGGUGGGGAGGGAAUCAAUUCUCAGAAAAUGUGUGCUACGCAGAGAAUCUUGUAGGUGUGUACUGUGUAUUAGGCACUCGUGGCCUGUCAGCAGGAGCCCCAAGCCCACUGUAGCUGAAUUUAUGCUCCAGAACAUCAGGAGAAGCAUCACAUAUAGGUAAAAACUCCACAGGUCAUUACUUUCAAGAAGGCCAAAUCUUGCCUAUCUCACACCAAAAGAAAUCUAAGCUAUGUUCUAUUCAGGCCUGGGGUAAAUAUGGCAGAGCUUUGUUUGUGAGUUCCUAUUUUAAGAGGAAAACUGGUCAGAAAAGAACUAUGAGGAAAUAACUCAUGACCUGGAGAAAGAGAGGACAUCGCUGCGCUGGACUAUUUCCUUAUACGACAACUGACAGCGAGAUAAAGAGGACGGUUUGGGUUGGACUUUAAACUCCAACCACCUAAACGGGUACUGUCCCAGGAAGGUCUGCAGAUAUGGAUCCCCUCUCCCAGGAGGGAGGCGGAGCCAAAAAGGGUGUGGGAAGGAAAAGCAGCAAUUCUAGGAAUUCAGAAGAGGGAUUGCUGGAGUGGGAAUGGCCGGUUGCCAGGCAGGUGUCGGAGGUACACAGCUAUAAACGAGCAUGCAAUUGUAGACCCAGCCAUCUGUUCUCUAGGAACUUAGUGACUUGUUUGAAUUUUCUGUAAUUUCCUUUUACUUCUCUUAGUAUUGUUCUUGAGAGCAUGCGCAAAUUUCAGCUGUGCUAAGGGGAGCUUCCACCCUCCCCCACAAACCCUCUAUCUUUCUGUGCUCAUAUGUUAUGGGAGGAACCUAACAUCCAUGGAGCUGGUUUCAGUGAUGGCUCCAGAAUAAAAGUGAGAAAAUUCCAAGGGUUAAGAAAGACUCCUCCUUUUGUGGUUUGUAAUGGUGUUUGUAUAGCCAGCUCUGGUGGUCUAAUGGUUAAGAUUUGGUGCUGUCACUGCCAGUGGCCAAGGUUCAUUUCCCAGUCAGGGACUCACACUAUCCCUCGGUUGGUUGUCAUACUGUGGUGGCUGCAUGUUGCUGUGAUGCUGAAAGCUAUGCCAUAGCUAUUUCAAAUACCAGUGGGGUCAUCCAUGGUGGACAGGUCUCGGCAGAGCUUCUAGACUAAGACAGACUAGGAAGAAGGACCUGGUGACCCAAUUCUGAAAAAAUUGGCCCUGAAAACCCUAUGAACAGCAGCGGAGCCUUGUCUGAUACAGCCCUGGAAGAUGAGAGGAUAUCACAAAAAAACCAGGCAGGGUUCUGCUCUGUUGUCCACAGGGUCGCUAGGAGUUGGAAUUGAUUCCAUGACACUAACAACAACAAAAAUGGCGGUAGUGGGAGGAUGCUAUACUGGAAGCUGUGCUAGUUCAUUUUAUUUGUUAAUUUGGCUGGCCAUGGUGCCCAGAUAGUUGGUCAAACAUUAUCUUGGAUGUUUUUUGUGACGUGUUUUUUUGGAUGAGAUUAAUGCUGAAAUUAGUGGACUUGGAGUAAAGCAGAUUGUCCUCUAUAAUGUGGGUGGGCCUCAUGCAGUCAGUUGAAGACUUGAAUAAAAGAAAGGCUGACCUCAUCUGAGCAAGAAGGAACUCUACCAGCAGAUUGCUUCAGGGCUCUUUCCUGGGUCUUGCCUACCCUACAGAUUUUGGAUUUACCAAGCCUCCACAAUUCCUUGAGCCAAUUCCUUCAGACAAAUCUCUUUCUCCCUCUAUCUCUAUACAUACACACAGGUCCUGCUGGAUCUGUUUCUGCGGAGAACCUUGACUAACACAGAAGCUAUUCCUACAACCAAACUACACGGAGAUUGCCCAGUCAGAGCUCUCCUUAAAUCAUGGGGGCUGGUGCUGUACAGAGCCCUAUCCUUGAAGAGUAUGACAAGAGAGAAGAAACUGACUUCCCAAGCAUCUGUGACUAUUGUUUAUUGAGGGCCUCUUUCUGCUGCGUCUUAAAAUCCAGCAAGGUAGACUUCGGAUGUGGGAUGGGAGUGAAAGGCGGUUCAGAUGAACACAACAACUUGUCCUGGGAGCAGGUAGGGAUGUGAGGAGGGAGUGGGUGAAUUUGCUAGGCACCCAGGAAAUAGGAAGGGAAUUAUAGAAAUAGUGUAAUUGAGAACGUUAGUAGGGCCUUAAUUGCCAGGCUAAAGAGCUAGGCCUUUUCUGUAUAGGCAAACAGAAGCCCAUGGAGAUUUUUGAACGAGGGAGUGAAAUAUUUGGAGGAGGGAAGCUGGCAAUGAAGCGCUGAGUGACUUAGAAGGAAAAGACUGGGAAUAAGGAAGCGUUUUGGAAAGUUCUUGCAAUUAUCUCCACAUUAAUUCCUUUAUUCUUUUAUUCACUGGACAUUUAUGGAGCCCCGGUUAGUGCUAGGCAUUGUACAAUUUAAGGAGAAAUAAAGUGCCUCUGAAGAGUCCACUGUUCUGGAGGGGAGAUUUGCACGGAGGAGGAAAUGUAAGCAAAUGCUUGUGGAAGUAUUUCCCAGUCUUUAGUAUGUAGGCUUGAGGCCUGGCCCACAGCAGAUUUUAAGACAGAACUGAGAGUUCAAAUUUUUUCAAGGUGCCUGAUAAAGUAUUCAAAGGGCUCUUACCUGUUCAUACACCAUCUCAUAAUGACAGAAGACAAAGAUCCAAAGUGAAGGGGGAAAAAUAACCCCAGUAAUUACAGAACUGAAGUGUAUAUAUGUAUGUGCAUACAUAUAAAACCUGUUAGCUCCUGAGUGGGGGAGAGUUUGCUCUCUAGGCCGUCUCCGGAUUAGGCCCAGAGCCUGAGAGAAUGCCCUCUCACCUGGUACACUCGGUACUGAUGACUCAGGGGAUGGGCUCCGUGAGCAUAAGCGAUUGGACUUGGACCUGGAGCCAGAACACAGUAUUUUCUUAUCUUUAAUCUUCAUAAAGCGUAUGUUUAUUCUUCCCUGACAAAAGCCAAGCCUAAGGCGCACGGUCUGUUUUAUGAAGGCAUUAGUCCUCUUUGGACAGCUGUGUGUCCUGUCCACGCCCCCGUGAGAAGGAGGAGGCAGGCCGAGGAGGAGUCCGCGCCCUCUGGGAGCCGGCCUGGAACACGUUUCUGUGGCCUACUGCUGCCAGCAGCUACACCCUGGGUGCCAUGGUUCAGUGAGGGGCUGGGAGGGGUUUCCAUUUCAGUCAGUCAUUCACCCGGAAAUGCUCAGCACUAUCUCACGAACCUGGUUUCUGAGAAGUCAGGCCACCUAUUGUAGUUAGCAAGUUGGUAAAUGAUAUAUUCUAAGCGCUCAUAAAAGUUAACCCAGCGCUUGCUACAAAGCUGAUAGCAUGCAAUGAAAGAGUGAGCAGAGGCCUCCUUUGUGUUUGAGUCCAGGGUGGGCCGAGCUGUGUGUGGGCCCAGAAAAUGCUGGAGGGAGGGGCUUCUUCUGCGGCUUUUCCUUGUUGCAACUGGCCACGCUCAACUCCUCUGCGAAGGACCUUCAGCCUCCUGCCAUGGACACAGAGAACUUAAUAGAUGUCAUGGAG
ensembl:lncRNA